rnacentral:lncRNA from 1 species
UACAACACCAUGCUCUCUGUAGGAGGAGUAAUGUAUAUUCAAAGGAACAAUCUGCCCUCAACAUACAACCUAAAUUAGACAUUUGAAAAUUUUAUCAACAUUUGUUUAUUCAGAAUCAUACCUGCAAUUUUGCUAAACGAGACUGCAAUGAGCCAACAAAUUGAUCAUGUUGUUCCAUCAAAUCUGAAAUAUCAUCCCGCUCACUAGCAGACACCAUUUCCUUUUCAGCGGAUAAGGAGAUUACUCUCUGUUUAGAUUUUAAGUAUCAUUGCAUUGAAGAUGAGAACAUUUGAGAUAACAUAUAAUGCUCAAUAUCAUAGAAAGGAAACACUUAAAAAAUCUUUGUUAAAAGUGGCAUUUGCAUACAUACAAAAACAAAAAAGAAAAGCAAAUGAAGCAAUAUCUGCUCCUCUUUAGGCAGUACAUUAUAAGCAUAUAGUAGCUCCUAUAUAUUUACAGGUCUGUUAUUUUACCAAAGAGAUUGAUUAAUGACAAUUUUACUGGAACAGACUCCUGUGCUUCAAAACAAGUUUAAAUUCUCUUUUUCACAUAAAAGAGAACAUAUGUACAUAAAUUGAUUUAAAAGUUCAGUUAAGAACCAAGAAAUAUCACCAAAAGAAAAGUUCAAAUUGAAAUUACCUCAACUCGGUUUUUGAAUGAGCAACAUCAGUUUGAACUGAGACAUGCGGAAUCGGAGCCAUGGGACCCACACAGACCCACGUCAUGCUGGGAGACAGCCACCAUGGAUGCCGAUAAUAAUCGGAGCAGUAACCCAGCUAAUCCCCAACCGGAACUUUCCCAAAGCCGGCAAACACCACCAACAACAUCAUCAAACCCAGAUUUGGAGAACAAGAACAACACCAAAUCAUGGGUAAAAACCACCCAUUAGCCUAAUUUAAAUAAGCAAUAACCCCAGAAAACUGAAAGGGAAGACAAAAAACACAAAUCUGAUAAUGAAGAGGAAAAUCAUGAGCACGCAUUAAUCAGAUCUGAAGCAAAACCAGCUUCCAAAGACCAGAUUUCAACUGUCAAAACCCCUAACGCCAGUAGAAUCAUCAAGAUCCGAGACCUCCAAAUCUGAAGCUCCAAGGAUUUCAACUGUCAAAACCCCUAAAAUCAGCAGAAUGAGGAUCCUCUCUCUCUAACUUUCCCUACUUGGAACCCUCGAGGAUGCACUCCCAGUCACCGAGUCGUGUUUUUUUAAAUUAUAAGUUUUAGCUUGAGCACGUUUUUUGUUCCGUGUUUUUUAACUAGAUAACGUUAUCUAGUUAAAACCAAAAAAAUGCUCUUUUAAAUAGAUAACGUUUUUGUAUAUAUAUCUAUAACAGAGAACUCAUUAUGUUAUCUUUACAAAACAAAAACUGUGGAUUUGGCAAUUGGCACCUAAAUUUAGUCACCAUCCAUUUGCUUGUGUGUGUUUCGAUUGGAUUCUCGAUUAAACAAGUGCAUAUAACUAACAGCAUAAAGACACUACGAAAAGCCUCCUUCUUAAUUUUGAGUAGCAUUGCUAAUUAUCAAAGAUAAUGACCGAAGAUAUAGAUAAUCUACUGAAAGCAUCAGAAUUAAUCUGCUCGUGUAAAGCAAAAAUGGACAAUUUUGGAUUACGGCAAAAGCUCCAAAAGGUUAAAUUAAUUAACAAAGAGAACACAAAGAAAAAANNNN